CUGGCUCAGGACGAACGCUGGCGGCGUGCUUAACACAUGCAAGUCGAACGGAAAGGCCCUUCGGGGUACUCGAGUGGCGAACGGGUGAGUAACACGUGGGUGAUCUGCCCUGCACUUUGGGAUAAGCCUGGGAAACUGGGUCUAAUACCGAAUAUGACCACGCGCUUCAUGGUGUGUGGUGGAAAGCUUUUGCGGUGUGGGAUGGGC
rnacentral:rRNA from 1 species